GGAGCGGCGAGAGCGCAGCGCCGUGUCCAAGACGCGCACUGCACUGCCUGGUGGCCACAUAGCGGGAGUCAAGUGGGUAUGGCAACAAGGUGUGGCGACUAAAAAAAAAAAAGUUUGACCGCACACUGAACAAACCCUAAAAGAAAAUGACUUACUAACUAUGUCAUGCUUCUUCUACUGCUUAUUACACAUAGAAACCUCAUAUGUCCAUGGCUUUUCUGCUAGAUGUACUGCAGCUAAUGACUGAUUAAUGUAGGGUUAAUUAAUAAUCUAAACUGGUGCUCUGUUAGGACUCGGGUGACGGGUCCAGUCCUGGUGUCGAAGGAUGAGCUGAUCCAGAGGUCCUGCUGUGAUCCACUGUGGCUGACAUGAUCUUGGGAACGUCAAGGACUUGAAGGAUCUCCACUCACAGAGCUGUAUACAAAUCAUCCAAGGCGGUAGUGCUGCCGUACCACACAGCGAUGCAGCUGGUCGAGACACUCUCAACGAUCCAGUUCCAGAUGGGGCCGAGGACAUAACCUGGUGGAGUGCCAAUCUUUGUAAGAAUGCUAACUGAAGACCCUAGCCCAAUCCUGACUGGGCUCGUCAGAAAGACGGCAUGUGGGUGAUGAUCGUGUUGAAGGUGGAGUCAAUAAAGAACAUUCUGGUGUAGGAGUCUUUAUUUUAAUGCUUGAUACAUAUGUCCGUGGUGUUUUCUGUUGGCUGGACUGCAGCUGAAGGCUCAUUAACGUAAGGUCAAUUAAACAUAAUUAUCUCAACUGGUGCUCUGAGUACUAGAGUGGUCUGGAGGAGAUCUUGUAUGUUAUUAUCUCCGUUCUGAUAGCUUCAAGUGUUUGGUCCAUCUGCAGUUAAUUUGACAAUAUGGAUUUCAUUAAGCACAAGUGAGUAAAUUGCAAGCUGCUUAGGGAUUCUGAAGGCGUGGGUUAAAUUCUUAUUGAAGUUCCACACCAAAAGAAAAGGCUGGAAACAUGUGGUCAAAUAGUGCAGCCUGUUUGAGGAAUCUCUUGCUGUUAAGAUUUUGGUUGAAGCCUGAUGACACUCAGGAGCUUUUGAAGUCCAACCCCCAAAGUGAAGAAUGAAAAGCUAUGAGAAAGAUGGUGGGUGUGUGGUCAGAUAGCUCAGGCUGUUGAAGGACUGUGUUGUCAUUCUUAAGGCCUGGGUUCGAGUCUUAUGACGUCCAGUGGUUUUUAAAGUCCACCACCGAAAGUGAAGAAUAUAAAACUCUUAAGAAAGGUCAGAGCCAUGUGGUCAAAUAGCUCAACCUGAUAGAUGACGGUCUGGAGACUCUGAGAACAUGGGUUCAAAUCUUAUCGGUGCUGGUGAUUUUUAAAGUCCAACACCCAAAGUGAAGAGUCAAAUUGUGUCAACGCCAUUCAACCACCUGUCUGAUCCAACAGCGCGGGCUGUUAGGAGACUGCUUGGCAGUCAUGAAGUCAUGGGUUCAAAUCUUAUCAGGGUCAGUGUGUUUUGAAGUCCAGAUUCCAAAGCGAAGACUUAAAAGCGCUCAGAAAGAAGGUUCAAGUGUGAAGGGCCGUCGGUGGCGUGGUGGGUUUCAACCGCGACUGGAAGUCGCAAGAGCUUGGUUCGAUUCCCAUCCGUGGCCGGGGGCCUGGAUCCACCAAACAUCCCUGCAGUAGCAGGCCGGGGGGGGGCCGUGUCCUCCCCCGCGGUUUCCGAGCAACAGAAGGAGGGGGUUAUAGGACCCAGAGCUACGAGAGGCUGGAGUUUUACAGUGAAGGGAGGGAAGA